AUACGGAGGAUGCGAGCGUUAUCCGGAUUUAUUGGGUUUAAAGGGAGCGUAGGUGGGAUAUUAAGUCAGCUGUGAAAGUUUGGGGCUCAACCUUAAAAUUGCAGUUGAUACUGGUUUCCUUGAGUACGGUACAGGUGGGCGGAAUUCGUGGUGUAGCGGUGAAAUGCUUAGAUAUCACGAAGAACUCCGAUCGCGAAGGCAGCUCACCGGGCCGGAACUGACACUGAUGCUCGAAAGUGCGGGUAUCAAACAGGAUUAGAUACCCUGGUAGUCCGCACAGUAAACGAUGAAUACUCGCUGUUUGCGAUACACGGUAAGCGGCCAAGCGAAAGCGUUAAGUAUUCCACCUGGGGAGUACGCCGGCAACGGUGAAACUUAAAGGAAUUGACGGG
rnacentral:rRNA from 1 species